rnacentral:tRNA from 3 species
GCGGAUAUAGUUUAGUGGUAAAACCAAGCUAACGAUGCGGGUUCGAUUCCCGCUAUCCGC